rnacentral:lncRNA from 1 species
CUCACAUAGGGCCCAGUGCCUUGUACUAAAGAGCUGAGCAUCACAUUGGCCUCUUGGAUUAAAACAGCAGCUGGCAUCUUUGACAACUGUUUGUAGUUAGUAGACUUUGCACACUUUUUCUUGCUAAUCCAAGCUUGAAAAUACUCUAACCAAAUUUCCCAAGGAUCAGAGUAUUCUGAUGUCCCAUAGAUGUUCCUGUGUUGUUUUUUAAAGUUGAUGGAGAAGUUGUCUUCCUGGCCUGCCAAGCAGUCAAGAUAGGUUGACAAAGUUGUCUCAAGGUUCUUUUGAUGGCAAGUGGCCAAUACCCACAGGAAUCAGCAUUGAAAAUGAGAAUUUGUGGUAUAGCAACAGAAAUGUGUGAAGGAGCUUGAGAGAGUGAGGUUGGGCCUAAGGAAAGAGCUCUUUGUCUCUCACCUCUGCUGCUCUGUCUUCUGGCUUCCUUCUCCUUCUCUGGUUUUCUCCAAGCCCCUUUGCACCAUUGUGGACUGUUGUUUGCCUCUCUUCUCUUAGGUUCACAUGCCCUUACUUAAAAUAUCCCACAGAGAAUGACAAAUGUCUCCAGCCUCCAGUUCCAAAUCUUCCAGGAAGAGUAUCUAAGGAUCCCAGCUCUGUCAGAUAUCCACUCUUCAGAACACCAUUGAUUAGGACAAUAUGGCAUAUGGGCCCCUUCUGGUCAAGUUACUCCUUCAAACUUAAGAAAAUGAAUAAAAAAGGUUGGCAAAUGGAAGAAAGCCAAUUAUGCAACAAUUUUAGAUUUUUGAACGUCUUGUGGAGGCUGCAGAAGAGGCACAUCUGAAACAUGAAUUUGAUGCAGACUUACAGGUAAGUGACUAUAGUUUGAGUUAAAUUGCUCUGUGUAUUUCAGUGAUUGAAAGGGAAAGGUUUUUGAGAGGAUGAUACAGAGUUGGAAUAAACAUGUCUUUCUUCUUGUCA